rnacentral:rRNA from 1 species
GACGAACGCUGGCGGCGUGCCUAAUACAUGCAAGCCGAACGAGAGCGACCGGUGCUUGCACUGGUCAAUCUAGUGGCGAACGGGUGAGUAACACGUGGGUAACCUGCCCAUCAGAGGGGGAUAACAUUCGGAAACGGAUGCUAAAACCGCAUAGGUCCUUUAACCGCAUGGUUGAAGAAGGAAAAGAGGCGCAAGCUUCUGCUGAUGGAUGGACCCGCGGUGCAUUAGCUAGUUGGUGAGGUAACGGCUCACCAAGGCCGUGAUGCAUAGCCGACCUGAGAGGGUGAUCGGCCACAUUGGGACUGAGACACGGCCCAAACUCCUACGGGAGGCAGCAGUAGGGAAUCUUCCGCAAUGGACGCAAGUCUGACGGAGCAACGCCGCGUGAGUGAAGAAGGUUUUCGGAUCGUAAAACUCUGUUGUUAGAGAAGAACAAGUGCUAGAGUAACUGUUAGCGCCUUGACGGUAUCUAACCAGAAAGCCACGGCUAACUACGUGCCAGCAGCCGCGGUAAUACGUAGGUGGCAAGCGUUGUCCGGAUUUAUUGGGCGUAAAGCGAGCGCAGGCGGUUCCUUAAGUCUGAUGUGAAAGCCCCCGGCUCAACCGGGGAGGGUCAUUGGAAACUGGGGAACUUGAGUGCAGAAGAGGAGAGUGGAAUUCCAUGUGUAGCGGUGAAAUGCGUAGAUAUAUGGAGGAACACCAGUGGCGAAGGCGACUCUCUGGUCUGUAACUUGACGCUGAGGCUCGAAAGCGU